UGGGGAAUAUUGCACAAUGGGCGAAAGCCUGAUGCAGCGACGCCGCGUGAGGGAUGACGGCCUUCGGGUUGUAAACCUCUUUCAGCAGGGACGAAGCGCAAGUGACGGUACCUGCAGAAGAAGCACCGGCCAACUACGUGCCAGCAGCCGCGGUAAUACGUAGGGUGCGAGCGUUGUCCGGAAUUACUGGGCGUAAAGAGUUCGUAGGCGGUUUGUCGCGUCGUCUGUGAAAACCCACCGCUCAACGGUGGGCCUGCAGGCGAUACGGGCAGACUUGAGUACUGCAGGGGAGACUGGAAUUCCUGGUGUAGCGGUGAAAUGCGCAGAUAUCAGGAGGAACACCGGUGGCGAAGGCGGGUCUCUGGGCAGUAACUGACGCUGAGGAACGAAAGCGUGGGUAGCAAACAGGAUUAGAUACCCGCGUAGUCC
rnacentral:rRNA from 1 species